rnacentral:tRNA from 1 species
UAGGAUGUAACUUAGUUGGUAGAGUGCUUGCCUAAUUUGCAUAGAGCCUUAGGUUCAAACCUAACAACAUAC